AGCAGCCGCGGUAAUUCCAGCUCCAAUAGCGUAUAUUAAAGUUGCUGCAGUUAAAAAGCUCGUAGUUGAAUUUCGGGAUCAAUAUGUCGGUCGUGCUUCGGUACGUACUGUCAUUAUUGGUUUCUCCCUUCUGAAGAACCUUGAUGUCAUUAAUUUGGUGUCUUGGGGAAUCAGGACUGUUACUUUGAAAAAUUAGAGUGUUUAAAGCAGGCUCGCGCUUGAAUACAUUAGCAUGGAAUAAUGAAAUAGGACAUUUGAUUCUAUUUUGUUGGUUUCUAGGAUCGACGUAAUGAUUAAUAGGGAUAGUUGGGGGCAUUAGUAUUCAAUUGUCAGAGGUGAAAUUCUUGGAUUUAUUGAAGACUAACUACUGCGAAAGCAUUUGCCAAGGAUGUUUUCAUUAAUCAAGAACGAAAGUUAGGGGAUCGAAGACGAUCAGAUACCGUCGUAGUCUUAACCAUAAACUAUGCCGACUAGGGAUCGGAUGAUGUUAAUUUUUAAUGA
rnacentral:sRNA from 1 species